GACGAACGCUGGCGGCGUGCUUAACACAUGCAAGUCGAACGGAAAGGCCCUGCUUUUGUGGGGUGCUCGAGUGGCGAACGGGUGAGUAACACGUGAGUAACCUGCCCUUGACUUUGGGAUAUCUUCAGGAAACUGGGGCUAAUACCGGAUAGGAGCUCCUGCUGCAUGGUGGGGGUUGGAAAGUUUCGGAGGUUGGGGAUGGACCCGCGGCUUAUCAGCUUGUUGGUGGGGGAGUGGCUUACCAAGGCUUUGACGGGUAGCCGGCCUGGGAGGGUGACCGGCCACAAUAGGACUGAGGGACGGCCCAGACGCCAACGGGAGGCAGCAGGGGGGAAUAUUGCGCAGCGGGCGGAAGCCAGAUGCAGCAACGCCGCGUGCGGAAAAACGGCUUUCGGGUUGUAAACCGCUUUCUCCUGUGACGAAGCGGGAGUGACGGUAAUUGGUAAAGAAGCACCGGCUAACUACGUG
rnacentral:rRNA from 1 species